UCAUCACCAUGUCCUCCCAAAAAUCCAAAAUCCAUGUAGAGUUGCUAUUUAGAGCAACCUUGUAAAUUAUUACAAAUUCAAAUGAAACCAACAGAAAAGUUCCCGUACAAUGAAAACCGUCCAAUGGAAAAUACAUAGUUUUAGUAUUGCCCUCGUAUUCCUGCUGCUGAUAGUGUGACGUCUUUGUUCAAAUUAGAUGGGUUUUACCUUAAAAAAAAAUCUGAAACAAUUCUGGGUGACUCAAGGUUUACAAAUAUAUGCGUUUUCCGAAUUCACAAACAUGUAGUCAAACAUAUCGAAAGUUUCUGAUAAGAUUAUAUUCAAUACAUCAACGUAAAUACAGAUCACUCUGUAACUCGGAGAACAGUUGACGAAUUCGCUAACGGUAGUGUGCAUUUGAAAGCAUUAAAGAAUCUAAACAAAUAUGGGUCACUGUCACUGUUGCGGGAUUGAAUGCGAUUGCGAAGAUUCAGACUGUUGUCACUGCCAUCAUUGCCAUCCGGAAGACUGCUGCUGCCCUGCAUGUCUGCCUUGUUGCGGCCCUGGACGUGAGUGCGUCUGCGUGUGCACGAUCCUGUAGAGCCGAGCCGCAAAAAUACGGAUCAAUUUUAAUAUUUAAGCGCAUAUAUAUUUAAUGUAUUUUUUUAAGAAUAAAACAAUGUCGAAACGCCCAUCGACACAAACUGAGGUCGGAUUGUAGGUAUACAAAGUUGCGGAAGCGUAACCGAAAUGAAUAUUAAAAGAAAGUUAUUUAUUGUUACUUUCUGUGAUGUCGGUUGCGAUCGCCGUCCUUGUCGCUUUUUCGUAAUACGCGUGCUGCAAGAAUACCAACCAUCAGCGUAUUCGACGACUUUGAUCCUCAUCGUUGUUACUUCAUUUCUGUAACUUGUUAGAAAGCGCCACGUUUCCUUUGGCCGAAGCAAACAAUCAGCGUAACACGAGUAUUACGUACCCAUCUUAAUUGUAUAGAUGGAAAACGUAAAGAAAGCUCACAUAGCUAUUAGAUAGCCUAAGGAUGGUAAAAAUUGAUUCACCUAACCUGCACAAACAACAACGAUCUCCACUACAUUCGUUUUUCACAUUUAAGGUGAUCUGAUCACAUUUUGAGAAAAUAUUGCCGUAAAAUGCUAUAUCUAAAGCAUUUUUACUGCUGUAUUUUCUCAAAAUAUGUCUAGAUCUCGUUAAAUGUUCUGGGAAAACGUGUUACGUAUGUGGAAAUCACUGUAUAGAAAGAAAAUGGCG